rnacentral:rRNA from 1 species
AUUGCACGCUGGCGGCAGGCUUAAAACAUGCAAGUCGAACGAGUGGCGGAAGGGUGAGUAAUGCUUGGGAAACUAGCUAAUGGAGGGGGAUAACUAAGGGAAACUGUAGCUAAUACCGCGUACCAUCGGAUGUACCCAAAUGAGAUUAGCUAGUAGGUGGGGUAAAGGCUCAACUCGGCGACGAUCUCUAGCGGGUCUGAGAGGAUGAUCAGCCACACGGGGACUGAGACACGUCCCAGACUCCUACGUGAGGCAGCAGUUGGGAAUAUUGCGCAAUGGGUGCAACCCUGAUGCAGCCAUGCCGCGUGAAUGAAGAAGGCCUUCGGGUGGUAAAGGUCUUUCGGUAGCGAGGCGUUAACUACAGAAGAAGCACCGGCUAACUCCGUGCCAGCAGCCGCGGUAAUAC